rnacentral:lncRNA from 1 species
ACGGCCAAAUUUUGGCGCUAUCCGUCGCAUCUUUAGCGUUUCAAAUGUGCUUCAACACUUCAG